rnacentral:pre_miRNA from 1 species
UCUUUAGUAUAAGUAUGUCUUAUGUAGUAUUUGGGAUAUACUUAUGCUAAAA